ACAGGGUCAGCCCACUGUUCCUUUGCACGACACUGUCCUAAAAGCAGAUCAGCGUCAUGGGUGCCAUGUGUGUGGGAAGAGUUUUACCCGACAGUCCAAACUGGUGGAGCACCUGUACACUCACACAGGACGACAUCCUAUCACAGCAAAGCCUUGUUCCACACCAUUAGGAGACAUGUUGUAUGACUACUGGGACAACUCACAGUGAUCUUGUAACCCUGGGCCAACCCCCUCCCACUCUGGUGGUGCAGUUGGUUGGGGAUUAAAACUUUCUUUAAAA
rnacentral:lncRNA from 1 species